rnacentral:rRNA from 1 species
CCUACGGGGGGCAGCAGUGGGGAAUAUUGGGCAAUGGAGGCAACUCUGACCCAGCAACGCCGCGUGAAUGAUGAAGGCCUUCGGAUUGUAAAGUUCUGUGAUGGGGGAUGAACACAAUGACGGUACCCCAAUAGCAAGCCACGGCUAACUACGUGCCAGCAGCCGCGGUGAUACGUAGGUGGCACGCGUUAUCCGGAAUGACUGGGCGUAAAGGGCGCGUAGGCGGUUUAGUAAGUUAGCGGUGUAAUUCCGGGGCUCAACCUCGGCGCUACCGCCGAAACUAUUAGACUAGAGUGCAGGAGAGGUGAGUAGAAUUCCUGGUGUAGCGGUGGAAUGCGUAGAUAUUAGGAGGAACACCAGGGGCGAAGGCGACUUCCUGGACUGUAACUGACGCUGAGGCGCGAAAGCGUGGGGAGCAAACAGGAUUAGAUACCCCGGUAGUC